rnacentral:rRNA from 1 species
CCUACGGGAGGCAGCAGUAAGGAAUAUUGGUCAAUGGACGCAAGUCUGAACCAGCCAUGCCGCGUGCAGGAUGACGGCCCUCUGGGUUGUAAACUGCUUUUAUAGGGGACGAAAAAAGGGCUUUCUAGCUCGUCUGACGGUACCCUAGGAAUAAGCACCGGCUAACUCCGUGCCAGCAGCCGCGGUAAUACGGAGGGUGCAAGCGUUAUCCGGAUUUACUGGGUUUAAAGGGUGCGUAGGUGGGUCGGUAAGUCAGCGGUGAAAUCUUCGAGCUUAACUCGGAAACUGCCAUUGAUACUAUCGAUCUUGAAUCAUCUGGAGGUAAGCGGAAUAUGUCAUGUAGCGGUGAAAUGCUUAGAUAUGACAUAGAACACCAAUUGCGAAGGCAGCUUACUACGGAUGCAUUGACACUGAGGCACGAAAGCGUGGGGAUCAAACAGGAUUAGAUACCCUGGUAGUCCACGCCCUAAACGAUGGAUACUCGACAUUUGAGAUAUACUUUAAGUGUCUGAGCGAAAGCAUUAAGUAUCCCACCUGGAAGUACGAUCGCAGAUUGAAACUUAAAUGAAUUGACGG